GAUGACUAUGGGGAGGAAGCGGCGGUAAUGCGGGGGGUGCAGGGGUUAUCGGGAUGUACUGUGGUGAAAGGGGCAGUUGGUGGGUGGCUAGGGCAGUGGUUCAAUUACCGGGCGUAACGUGGGAGCUGCCAUUGAUACUGUUGGACUUGAGUGCAGAUGAGGUUGGCGGAAUGGGGCAUGUAGCGGUGAAAUGCUUAGAUAUGCCUCGGAACACCGAAUGCGAAGGCAGCUGGCUAAACUGCAACUGACACUAAUGUACGAAAGCGUUGGUAGCGAACAGGAUUAGAUACCCGUGUAGUC
rnacentral:rRNA from 1 species